AAUAACUCUGCCUCCACUACCCAACCUCUUCCAGAUAAAGGUUGAGAAGAGAAGGAAGCAGGUAAAGCAUCUGUUCAAUGCCUAUAUACAAAGCCAUGAACCCGGAAGGGGAGGAGUCACAUGGGUCCAGCAGCAGCAUGGACACAGUGUGGUAGAGCUGCAGAAGAGCAUGCCGUCCUCCAAGAAGUUGAAGGUCAGAAUUACAACCUCCAUGACUGCUUUCCAGGCUUUAUAAAUCUGUUCAAAUGUACAUCUGAAUGAGUUCAAAGCUAUCCUCAGCUGCAGAAUGUGUUUCAGGCCAGCCAAGGCUACACCGUAAGACCCUGCUUAGAAAAAAAAUCUUUAAAUAAAAACAAUACUGG
rnacentral:lncRNA from 1 species